AUGCUCCUUGCAAUACCCAAUUCUUGUCCUUGGAAAAUCCCCAAAACCAAAAACCAUCCGUCUCCCAAUUUCCCUCUAAAACCUUCUCUCUCUCUCUCUCUCUCUCUCUCUCCUCAACAUCUCUUCUCCGUUCUUCUCUGCCGCAUUGCCUUCCACCACAGUCACAACCGUAAAAAUUCCUUUUACACAUUGUAGUCUCUCUCACUCAUGAAUCCUUCUUCAAAUAUCUAGGGUUUCUCUUCUCCCCCAGUAAGCUCUGGAGUUCCUUCAAAAGGUAUAUUCUGAUCCGAUUCAGUUCAUAUGUAUAUAUUACGUAUAUGAUUUGAUGUUAUUGAAAACCGUAGUGUUCUUCGAAAUUUAGAUGAAAUUUGUAUGGAAAUGCGUUAUUGAAUAGAAGUUUAAUAUAGCAGGUCUACUUAUUUUGUUUUUUGUUUCUUUAUAUUCUUUCUUUUUUUUUUUUUGUAGAAAACUGGGUAGAAACUGGAUAUCUGUGUAUAGGGAUGAUGCCCGGUUAACGGUGAAGUAACAGUUUAAAGAUUUUUUGGAACCAAAUGUUUGGUUCAAUUUUACGGUUUCCGUUGCUCAAUCACAUAAAAAUACAACUUUUAAACUAAUAAAAACCGCAAAAACUAAAAAUCUAAGCUAAACUAUUAAACUAAAAAUCGUAACCUAAACUAAUUAAAUGACAAAAAGAAGUCACGACUCAGUUUGAUUUUUAACCGCGGUCCGAACUGAAAAACCAUGAACCAUGAACUAAUUAAACCGGGGAAUGGUUUGAUUUUUUCGAACUGUAACUUGAACCGUUUGAAAAAACGAACUGAACCGUACGGUUUCAUGAUUCAAUCGGAUUUUUUGCUCACUCCUAUCUGUGUAAUCUGCGAAAGAUUUUGGUAGAAAACUCAGAAAGCAAAACUUUAUUAUGGCGAAUUGAAAUGGGGUAUUAUGUUUUCUUUCUGGUUGUUAUUGUUGCUUUUUUUCUUGUCUUUUCUUUCUUUAGGGUUGAUUUGGGUUGUGACUCUUCAUCACUUUCUCUAACACAAUCUCUUUUGUUGCUGAUAAAGCAAACUAUUGCUGAUGGAAGUAUUUACAAUUUAAGAUUACUUUGAGAUUUUUGAUUCAAUUGGAAAGCUAGUUUACUUGCCUCUUUGCAAGGCUAAAAAUUGUUUUUUGGCUAUUCAAAUGACGCUGCAGUGUGCGUUUAUGUGGAACUGAUAUGAUGCUAGCUAGAAGUUGUUCUUGAGUUUGAUGAGUUAUUUUUUUCCCAUUAUUGUGUUCUUCGAUCCUACUGAUUGUGACUCUCGUCAUUUCAAUCCUGGACACUUGCAAAUACAUUCUCAACACAAUUUUCCAAAUGCAUAUGAUUCUUAUAUGUAACUAUUUGGGUAUGUGAGGUAAUGCAGUGCAUUGCGAACUUUCCCUAUUGUAAAUCUCAUUCUUUUACAAAAAUUCAUUACCCCUGAUCUCUAGUAUCUUGCAGGGCACUAUUCUUUUAGAUGGAUAUUGUAAAGUGAAAGAUUAUACAUAGAAAAUGCAAUCUGUUAUGUGUCCUUUCCAAGUCGAGCCAUUUAUGAGUUUGUUAUUCAAAUUUCUGAUACGCCGCAAGGAUAUCUAACCCUUAAUCUGAAUUCACAAUCCAUCCUUGAUAGUUGAGUUUCUAGCGGUAAAAUGCUACAUUGGCUUAAGUUAUACUCCUUGCAUGAUGAUGAGAAUCCCUUCUUUUCGUAUUUAUAAAUUGACACGCAUGUUUCUAUUUUUCAUGCAAUGGAAGGUUGAACAAUUUAAAGUGUUGAAGAAUUGAUUAUCCCAACAUUUUUCUUUUUCGGUGUAUUUAUGCUCAUUGAACGUAUAAUGGCGUAGGUAAGUGUUGCCUCUUGAAGCUGUUAUUUUCGCUACCACAAUAUUGGUUGGUCCUUUCAAUUACUUACACUCCCAAACUUGUUAGGCAACUUAUCUUUUUCUUUUAACCCUGCAGUUAUUGAUUGAGAAAAUCAUUUGCAAAUUUGGGACAGAAAGAAUCAAAUGAAAUGGCAG
rnacentral:lncRNA from 1 species